GGCGCCUGCCAGGCACCAGAGAAGCGCAGGACACACCUGUGUGGAACCAAGUCCUGCCGACCACCAACACCUCACAGAAACCUACUCUGGUAUUCUGUGGGCUCCCUGCAGAUUCCCACUGCAUCAAGAAGCAGGGUCCAGCUGGCUCUCCUCGAGCGCCAGAGCUGUGAGCUCCACGCCCCGCUCAGCCCACUAGGAAUGCGUGUCCAGCCUCGGCCAGAGGCCAGCAGCCUCCUGUUAUUCCACCGCGGUCACUGCCCUGUCACCAGGCAGGCGAAUGAUUCGGAGCAGGAGUGGCAGUAUGUGAGGUGGGCACCCUGACGGACAGCAGGCCCCAGAGGAGGAGUCACAGCCUGGCAAGGACAUGCCAGGGGGCAGGUGUCCUUGAAGACCUGAGAGGUUCCUUAGCCAGAGAAUUUUAAUGAAGGUAAGAAAACCUGUCACGUUAAGGUUGCCAGAGAGUC
rnacentral:lncRNA from 1 species